rnacentral:rRNA from 1 species
UACAGAGGGUGCGAGCGCUAAUCGGAAUUACUGGGCGUAAAGCGCGCGUAGGCGGCUUUUCAAGUCGAUUGUGAAAUCCCCGGGCUUAACCUGGGAACUGCGUUUGAAACUACAAGGCUAGAGUGUAGCAGAGGGGGGUGGAAUUCCACGUGUAGCAGUGAAAUGCGUAGAGAUGUGGAGGAACACCGAUGGCGAAGGCAGCCCCCUGGGUUAACACUGACGCUCAGGCACGAAAGCGUGGGGAGCAAACAGG